rnacentral:tRNA from 1 species
GGCGCAAUUGGUUAGCGCGUUCGGCUGUUAACCGAAAGGUUGCUGGUUCAAGCCCAGCCAGGGACG